CAUGCCCGGAGCGCUCAGCCGUGCGGCCACGGGCGCGCCAGUACCAGCGGGAAAGGAAGGGGCUGCCUGGACCUGGGCAGGAGGCGGUGACCCGGCCUAGCUUGAGCGCCGGCAGCGCAGCUCUCUUGGCUGCUCCUCCUUCACACCCGCACGGCUGGAGCCUUUUCGUGGCCUGAGCAGAGAGAAGACUGGCAGUGGAGCAUGCAUCUGGAGGGCAGAGACGGCAGGCAGUACUCGGGCGCGGCGGCAGUGGAGCUCCUGCAGACGUCCAUGCCCACUGGACUCGCUGAACUUGCAGCCGGCAAGCGCAGGCCUCUGCGGGGAGCCGGCAGGGCUGACCCCUCGCACUCCUGCCCCAGCGGGACCACUGGGCAGAGCUCUUGGGCUCCUGCAGGCCAGGAGUUUGCUUCAUUUCUCACAAAAGGGAGGUCUCACUCUCCUUUACCCCAGAUGUCCAGCUCUAGGUCUAAAGAUUCCUGCUUUACAGAAAACACUCCUUUGCUGAGGAAUUCCUUACAGGAGAAAGGGUCACGGUGCAUACCUGUUUACCAUCCGGAGUUCAUCACUGCUGAAGAGUCUUGGGAAGACAGCUCUGCUGACUGGGAGCAAAGAUACCUGCUAAGCAGGGAGGUGUCUGGUCUGUCUGCAUCUGCCUCCUCCGAGAAGGGAGACCUUCUGGACAGCCCGCACAUCCGACUCCGUCUUUCCAAGCUGAGGCGCUGUGUGCAGUGGCUGAAAGUCACGGGCCUGUUUGUCUUUGUGGUGCUGUGUUCUAUUUUGUUCAGCCUAUAUCCUGAUCAAGGAAAGCUCUGGCAGCUGUUGGCCUUGUCACCGCUGGAGAACUACUCCAUGAACCUCAGCAGCCACGUGGACUCCACGCUUCUGCAGGUGGACCUGGCAGGGGCCCUAGUGGCCAGCGGGCCAAGUCGUCCUGGGAGGGAAGAGCACAUCGUGGUGGAGCUGACUCAGGCCGACACGUUGGGCUCCAGGUGGCGGCGGCCACAGCAGGUCACUCACAACUGGACGGUGUAUUUAAAUCCGAGGAGAAGCGAGCACUCAGUGAUGAGCAGGACCUUUGAGGUACUGACCAGAGAGACGGUGUCCAUCAGCAUCCAGGCCUCCCUCCAGCAGACCCAGGCUGUCCCUCUUUUGAUGGCUCAUCAGUACCUCCGUGGAAGUGUAGAAGCCCAGGUGACCAUUGCGACGGCCAUCCUCGCGGGCGUCUACGCACUGAUCAUAUUUGAGAUCGUGCACAGAACUCUGGCGGCCAUGCUGGGUUCCCUUGCAGCACUGGCAGCACUGGCUGUGAUUGGUGACAGACCCAGCCUGACCCAUGUGGUGGAGUGGAUUGAUUUUGAGACGCUGGCCCUGCUGUUUGGCAUGAUGAUCUUAGUAGCCAUAUUUUCAGAAACAGGAUUUUUCGAUUAUUGUGCUGUAAAGGCAUACCGGCUCUCCCGGGGACGGGUGUGGGCCAUGAUCAUCAUGCUGUGUCUCAUCGCGGCCGUUCUCUCUGCCUUCUUGGACAACGUCACCACCAUGCUUCUUUUCACACCUGUGACCAUAAGGUUGUGUGAGGUGCUGAACCUCGAUCCAAGACAAGUCCUGAUUGCAGAAGUGAUCUUCACAAACAUUGGAGGAGCUGCCACUGCCAUCGGGGACCCUCCAAAUGUCAUUAUUGUUUCCAACCAAGAGCUGAGGAAGAUGGGCCUGGACUUUGCCGGAUUCACUGCACACAUGUUCAUUGGGAUUUGCCUUGUUCUCCUGGUCUGCUUUCCGCUCCUCAGACUCCUUUACUGGAACAGAAAGCUUUAUAACAAGGAACCCAGUGAGAUUGUUGAACUGAAGCAUGAGAUUCAUGUCUGGCGCCUGACUGCUCAGCGCAUCAGCCCGGCCAGCCGCGAGGAGACUGCUGUGCGCCGCCUGCUGCUGGGGAAGGUGCUGGCACUGGAGCACCUGCUCGCCCGGAGGCUGCACACCUUCCACAGACAGAUCUCACAGGAGGACAAAAACUGGGAGACCAAUAUCCAGGAACUCCAAAAAAAGCAUAGGAUAUCCGACGGGAUUCUGCUCGCCAAAUGCUUGACGGUGUUGGGAUUUGUUAUCUUCAUGUUUUUCCUCAAUUCGUUUGUCCCUGGCAUUCAUCUUGAUCUUGGAUGGAUUGCUAUUCUGGGUGCCAUCUGGUUGCUAAUUUUAGCUGAUAUUCAUGAUUUUGAGAUAAUUCUACACAGAGUGGAAUGGGCAACCCUUCUGUUUUUUGCAGCGCUCUUUGUUCUGAUGGAGGCAUUGGCACAUCUCCACUUAAUAGAAUAUGUUGGAGAACAAACUGCUUUGCUAAUAAAGAUGGUCCCAGAGGAGCAGCGCCUCACAGCCGCCAUUGUCCUGGUGGUGUGGGUCUCAGCCCUGGCGUCAUCCCUGAUUGACAACAUCCCGUUCACCGCUACCAUGAUUCCCGUGCUCCUGAACCUGAGCCAUGACCCUGAGGUUGGCCUGCCCGCACCGCCGCUCAUGUAUGCCCUGGCCUUCGGUGCCUGCCUGGGAGGUAACGGGACGCUGAUUGGCGCGUCGGCAAACGUCGUGUGUGCAGGGAUCGCAGAACAGCAUGGAUAUGGGUUCUCCUUCAUGGAAUUUUUCAGUCAUCCAUGAAGUCAACACAGCUUUGUAACUAGCAAGAACUAGGCCUCAGCGGUGCAGUGGUGAAGCAGGCAGAUACUGUGUGCUGAACUUGGAGACUCACCAGGGAGGAGCAGCAAACACAGCUAAACGUAGACCCAGUUGGGCUUCCCAAUGAUGGUUGUGUCCUGCACUGUUGGGAUGUGUUAUCUCCUUGUGGCUCAUGUGGUGGUGGGAUGGAAUUAAUAGACAUCCAUCUAUUGCUCGAAGACUAAAGGAAACUUCAUCCAUCACAACCCGUCAGUCAUAAAACUACCCUGACCCCACUGUUUGGAGAAGAAAAGGUGCUUACCCUGGAGAUGCUACGGAGACACAGUGGAAUAGACCUUGACACUAAAACUCUAAUUCCAGCAAAUGUUGGAACACCAUGACCUCCUCUGUGUGUCCUUUCUCCCCAAGGACAAAAUGUAGAAAAAUGUGAGAUAACUUACUCAAAAUUCCCCUCCAGAAAAAUACGUAUGUUUCAAAACCCUUCCUGCUAUACAUAGGAAAAGACACACAUCCACCCAAAAUUGAUUGUGCUGUUUAAUUGUCAAUUCUCCUGAGGCUAAACACAGUUUGUUUUUCUUGUAAUCACUUUUCAUGUUAAAAUAAUCAGCAUUCAAAUUGUAUGCUCUCUGAAUAUAGACUUUCUGGGAAAAGGUUUACUGCUCGUAAGGAAACAUUUUAUAUAUUAAA